rnacentral:rRNA from 1 species
AUUGAACGCUGGCGGCAGGCUUAACACAUGCAAGUCGAGCGGGGUGAUGGUGCUUGCACUAUCACUUAGCGGCGGACGGGUGAGUAAUGCCUAGGAAUCUGCCUAUUAGUGGGGGACAACAUCUCGAAAGGGAUGCUAAUACCGCAUACGUCCUACGGGAGAAAGCAGGGGAUCACUUGUGACCUUGCGCUAAUAGAUGAGCCUAAGUCGGAUUAGCUAGUUGGUGGGGUAAAGGCCUACCAAGGCGACGAUCUGUAGCGGGUCUGAGAGGAUGAUCCGCCACACUGGGACUGAGACACGGCCCAGACUCCUACGGAGGCAGCAGUGGGGAAUAUUGGACAAUGGGGGGAACCCUGAUCCAGCCAUGCCGCGUGUGUGAAGAAGGCCUUAUGGUUGUAAAGCACUUUAAGCGAGGAGGAGGCUCUUUUGGUUAAUACCCAAGAUGAGUGGACGUUACUCGCAGAAUAAGCACCGGCUAACUCUGUGCCAGCAGCCGCCGCAG